rnacentral:rRNA from 1 species
ACUCAAUAGAUACCCGGGUAGUCCACGCCCUAAACGAUGUCUACUAGUUGUUGGUGGAGUAAAAUCCAUGAGUAAACGCAGCUAAACGCGUGAAGUAGACCGCCUGGGGAGUACGGUCGCAAGAUUAAAACUCAAAGGAAUUGACGGGGGCCCGGCACAAGCGGUGGAUUAUGUGGAUUAAAUUCGAUGCAACGCGAAAAACCUUAACCUGGCCUUGACAUGCCACUAACGAAGCAGAGAUGCAUUAGGUGCCCGUAACGGGAAAGUGGACACAGGUGCUGCAUGGCUGUCGUCAGCUCGUGUCGUGAGAUGUUGGGUUUAAGUCCCGCAACGAGCGCAACCCUUGCCAUU